CGGGUGACGGAGAAUUGGGGUUCGAUUCCGGAGAGGGAGCCUGAGAAACGGCUACCACAUCCAAGGAAGGCAGCAGGCGCGCAAAUUACCCAAUCCCGACUCGGGGAGGUAGUGACAAUAAAUAACAAUGCCGGGCUAUCUUUAGUCUGGCAAUUGGAAUGAGAACAAUGUAAAUACCUUAACGAGGAACAAUUGGAGGGCAAGUCUGGUGCCAGCAGCCGCGGUAAUUCCAGCUCCAAUAGCGUAUAUUAAAGUUGUUGCAGUUAAAAAGCUCGUAGUUGGAUUUCGGGGCAGGAGGUCUGGUCCGCCGAAAGGCAGGUACUGGACGCCAGCCCUUUUUCUCGGAGGCCCCAUCUGCUCUUUACUGAGUGGUAGGGGAGUUCGGGACGUUUACUUUGAAAAAAUUAGAGUGUUCAAGGCAGGCCGUCGCUUGAAUACGUUAGCAUGGAAUAAUGGAAUAGGACUUCGGUUCUAUUUCGUUGGUUUCUGGGACCGAAGUAAUGAUUAAGAGGGACAGUUGGGGGCAUUCGUAUUCAAUUGUCAGAGGUGAAAUUCUCGGAUUUAUGGAAGACGAACAACUGCGAAAGCAUUUGCCAAGGAUGUUUUCAUUAAUCAAGAACGAAAGUUGG
rnacentral:rRNA from 1 species